rnacentral:misc_RNA from 1 species
AAACAAGAGUACCGUGUCCAUGGCAUCUCCGUCAAUGGUGAAUGGUGGAAUCUCCAAUGUUCAAUCAAUUUAGUAUAUUCAAAGCGAGAGAGAAAAAGUUGGUUAUCAAAAAAAAAUGGGGAGAAAAGAAGAUGAUGGAGUAGAGAGAAUUGAAGGAGGAGUAGUGGUGGUGAACCCAAAGCCACGGAGAGGAAUAACUGCGAAAGCCAUAGACUUGUUGGAAUGGGGAAUCGUCAAAUUAAUGCACGAUUCCUCUAAGCCACUUCACUAUCUUCAAGGCAAUUUUGCACCUACCGAUGAA